rnacentral:rRNA from 1 species
AACGAACGCUGGCGGCAGGCUUAACACAUGCAAGUCGAACGCUCGUAGCAAUACGGGAGUGGCGGACGGGUGAGUAACGCGUGGGAACGUGCCCUGAGGUUGGGAAUAACUGCGGGAAACUGCAGCUAAUACCUGAUGAGCCCCUAACGGGGGAGAGAUUUAUCGCCUUGGGAGCGGCCCGCGUCGGAUUAGCUAGUUGGUGGGGUAACGGCCUACCAAGGCUUCGAUCCGUAGCUGGUCUGAGAGGACGAUCAGCCACACUGGGACUGAGACACGGCCCAGACUCCUACGGGAGGCAGCAGUGGGGAAUCUUGCGCAAUGGGGGCAACCCUGACGCAGCCAUGCCGCGUGAACGAUGAAGGCCUUAGGGUUGUAAAGUUCAUUUGCCCGUGACGAUGAUGGCGGUAACGGGAGAAUAAGCUCCGGCUAACUUCGUGCCAGCAGCCGCGGUAAAAC